CAUCAUCCCAGGGCUGUGAAUCGUUUCACAGGUGGCACUUUGACCUACGAAUCCGUCAUCUGAUGCCCCACGGCAGCUGGUGUUUGGUGGAGAAGACACCGGCUGAUUUGAGGACAGAGACCUGGGGCUUGAGCUGUACCACCUCCAUUUACCAGCUGGCCCACUUGGGCCUCCCUAUCCCCCGAGAGACAACAGUACUGAAAUUAGGCCAUUAAUAACUCUAUAACGACCUCUAAGUGCUCAAGUAAAAGGAAGAGGUGCACGUCUCUCACUUUAAAUCAAAAGCUAGAAAUGAUUACGCUUGGUGAUGAAGGCAUCUUGAAAGCCGAGAGAGGCUGAAAGAACAACAAAGCUUGGAUGACAGCACCUCUGCUUAUAACAUGGUUUUCUGAAUAUUUUAAGCCCACUGUUGAGAGCUGCGGCUCAGAAAAAGAUUCCUCUCAAAAGGCGACUGCUCAUUGACAAUGCGCUGGGUCCCCCAAGAGCUCUGAUGGAGAUGUCCAAGGAGAUUAAUGUUGUUUUCGGGUCUGCUAACACAACAUCCAUUCCACAGCCCAUGAGUCAAGGAGUAAUUUCAACUUUUAAGACGUAUUCUUUAAGAAACACAUUUUGUAAGGCUAUCAAUAGAGAUUCCUCUGAUGGAUCUGGGCAAAGUAAAUUGAAACCUCAUUCCAAAUGCCAUUAAGAACAUUCAUGAUUUAUGAGAAGAGGCCAGAAUACCAACAUGAAAAGCAGUUUGGAAGAAGUUGGUUCCAACCCUCCUGGAUGACUUUGACCCUCCCGGUUCAAGAUUGUAGGGGAGGGACUCAUUGCAGAUGUGGUGGGAACAGCGAGAGGAGUGACAUUAGCAGUGGAGCCUGAAGGCAGGACUGAAUGGCUGUGAUUUCAGGGUCAAACACGCACAGAGGACCUCAGAGGGGUUUCUGGCUGAUGAGCAAAGAAAGUAGUUUCUUGAGAUGGAAUCUACUCUUGAAGAAGACGCUGUGAAGAUCACUGAGUGUCAAUAAAGGAUUCAGAAUAGUACACAAAUUAGUGGAUAAGGCAGUGCCAGGGCUUGAGGGGAAAUCACUCUAAUUUUGAACGAAGAUUUAUUGUGGGUAAAAUGCUAUCAAAUAGCAUUUUGUGCUAUAGAGAAACUGUUCAUGAAAAGAGGCAAUCAAUGUGGCACAUUUCACAGACUUUUUUUAAGAAACUGUCACAGCCAGCCCAACCUUCAGUGCCCACCACCCUGAUCAGUCAACAGCCAUCAAAAUCGAGGAAAGACCUUCCACCAGCAAAAAGAUGAUGAUCACUAGGGGCACCUGGGUGGCUCAG